rnacentral:ncRNA from 1 species
UUAAAAGCAAUGAUAAGAAGAAGUAAUAGUCGGUAAUCCAAACAGAAAGCAGCCGGUAGAUGAGAGGCGCAUGGCAGUCUGAUUAUGAAUACAUCUUUGAGCUGUGCACCGAACCAUAGUUUAUGAAGUAGGCUGCAACGUAACCUGCACACGUUAUAGUGCUAGAGUAUAACCCAUUUUAAUGGAGUACUUGAAGAGGUAAGCAAUGCGAAUUGUUUAUAAAGAAAAGGUGGUAACACGAGAUAUAUGCCCUCGUCCUUUCA